rnacentral:rRNA from 1 species
GACAGAGGCCUCAAGCGUUAGGCGGAAUCACUGGGCUUAAAGCGUGUGUAGGCGGAUCGUUAAGUGCCUUGUGAAAUCCCACGGCUUAACUGUGGAACGGCUGGGCAUACUGGCGGUCUUGAGCCAUCUAGGGGCGACUGGAACAAACGGUGGAGCGGUGAAAUGCGUAGAUAUCAAGAGGAACACCAGUGGCGAAGGCGAGUCCCUGGACAAUACCUGACACUGAGGCACGAAAGCCGGGGGAGCAAACAGG